UAGUCCACGCUGUAAACGAUGAUCACUCGUUGUUGGCGAUACAUUGUCAGCGACUGAGCGAAAGCAUUAAGUGAUCCACCUGGGGAGUACGAUCGCAAGAUUGAAACUCAAAGGAAUUGACGGGGGCCCGCACAAGCGGAGGAACAUGUGGUUUAAUUCGAUGAUACGCGAGGAACCUUACCUGGGCUUAAAUGUAAAACGACGGAUCGGGAAACUGAUCUUUCUUCGGACGCUUUGCAAGGUGCUGCAUGGCUGUCGUCAGCUCGUGCCGUGAGGUGUCGGGUUAAGUCCCAUAACGAGCGCAACCCUCAUCAUUAGUUGCCAGCGGGUAAUGCCGGGGACUCUAAUGAAACUGCCGGUGUAAGCCGUGAGGAAGGUGGGGACGACGUCAAAUCAUCAUGGCCUUUAUGCCUAGGGCUACACACGUGCUACAAUGGUGCAUACAGCGGGUAGCGAAAUCGCGAGGUGGAGCUAAUCUUGUAAAGUGCAUCCC
rnacentral:rRNA from 1 species